GACGAACGCUGGCGGCGUGCUUAACACAUGCAAGUCGAACGGUAAGGCCCUUCGGGGCACACGAGUGGCGAACGGGUGAGUAACACGUGGGUGAUCUGCCCUGCACUUCGGGAUAAGCCUGGGAAACUGGGUCUAAUACCGGAUAGGACUCCGGACUGCAUGGUCUGGGGUGGAAAGCUUUUGCGGUGUGGGAUGGCCCGCGGCCUAUCAGCUUGUUGGUGGGGUGAUGGCCUACCAAGGCGACGACGGGUAGCCGGCCUGAGAGGGUGACCGGCCACACUGGGACGGAGGUACGGCCCAGACUCCUACGGGAGGCAGCAGUGGGGAAUAUUGCACAAUGGGCGCAGGCCUGAUGCAGCGACGCCGCGUGAGGGAUGACGGCCUUCGGGUUGUAAACCUCUUUCAGCAUCGACGAAGCGAAAGUGACGGUAGGUGCAGAAGAAGGACCGGCCAACUACGUGCCAGCCGCCGCCGUAA
rnacentral:rRNA from 1 species